rnacentral:rRNA from 1 species
UGCCCACUGAUUUAAUUAAAGGGCUGCAGUAAUUUGACUGUACAAAGGUAGCAUAAUCAUUAGUCAUUUAAUUGGUGACUUGUAUGAAGGAUUGGAUGAAAUAUAAACUGUCUUUUUAUUAAAUUAUAUAAUUUAAUUUUUUAAUUAAAAAGUUAAAAUGAUUUAAAAAGACGAGAAGACCCUAUAGAGUUUUAUUGAUUGUUAGGUUGUUGUUAUUUAGUAAAAGUAAAUUUGAAUUUAAUAUUUAAUUUUAUUGGGGUGAUAGAAAAAUUAAAUUAACUUUUUUUUUAUUUAUUACAUAAAUAAGUGAAUUGUUGAUCCAUUUUUAGUGAUUAUAAGAAAAAAUUACCUUAGGGAUAACAGCGUAAUUUUUUUUUUUAGUUCAAAUAAGAAAAAAAGUUUGCGACCUCGAUGUUGGAUUAAGAUAAAAUUUAGGCGCAGAAGUUUAAAAUUUUUGA